rnacentral:rRNA from 1 species
UACGUAGGGUCCAAGCGUUAUCCGGAAUUACUGGGCGUAAAGAGUUGCGUAGGCGGCAUCGUAAGCGAGUAGUGAAAGCGUGGGGCUUAACCCAUACACAUUAUUCGAACUGCGAAGCUAGAGGAUGAGAGAGGUUAUUGGAAUUCCCAGUGUAGGAGUGAAAUCCGUAGAUAUUGGGAGGAACACCGAUGGCGUAGGCAGAUAACUGGCUCAUUCCUGACGCUAAGGCACGAAAGCGUGGGGAGCGAACGGG